AGGCUCCAGGCUCUGAGCUGUCAGCACAGAGCCCGACGUGGGGCUCGAACUCACGGACCGCAAGAUCAUGACCUGAGCCGAAGUCGGACGCUUAACCGACUGAGCCACCCAGGCGCCCCUCUGUACUCUUAUUUUAAAGGUCCAGGCUGCUUUAAAGGAGCACAGAAUGUCGAAAUGAGAAGCUGCUGACUGAACAAGUCAAAGGGUUCCACUUUCCACCUGUGCCGAGACCCUGUGCUCUCCAGGAAACAAUCUCUCAGCUGUGAAAAAAGACAGGCUGGUGUGGACGUCCCUCAAUGCAGGCAGCUGCCUAUAAACAGAUUGCCCUCCGAAGCCAGAGACCCCAUGUUACCCCGACCUGUGGGAGCAAAGUCUGUGUAAAAAUGCAGCCAACAAGAAGUCUCAGGUCCCAUGAAUUACAGACAGGUGGCUUGAGUACCAAGUAAAGAGUUAGAUGCCUUUGGAGCGUCCUUUCAGAUCAAAGAUCCUGUAAUCCUGAGGAUACAUAGGAGCAUAGCUUACUUUCCAAACUUGGCCUGUCCUUGAGAGCGUGGUCCAAACGCCUCAUCUUCCUGUGAGGAUCCCUGAUCCAUCCCAGGUGGGAGAGACUCUUCUCCCCUCUGAAAGCUCAUAACACUUUGUCCCUUUAAAGAAAAAAAUAAAGCAUCUGCACCUUU